AGCUCAGUGAAAACUAGCAUCAACAUUUUAACCAUUGAACAUAAAAUGAUAUUAAAGUUAAUCUUUCUAUGUUUAUUGUUUUUUGCCAAGUGUCUAGAAGAAAUGCCUCAUGCUUGUUUGAAUGUUACUUCGAGUCAAUAUUAUUGUUGUUAUGAUUUUGAAGAAAAAGAUGGAAAGUGUGUCGGAUGUGAAACUGGAUUUACCUCAGAUGUAGGUCAACCAUGUAGAGAAUGCAGUAAUAAAUUUGAUGGCAAAAGAUGUAUAUCCGAAUGCAAAUAUGUCACCAUAUUCACGGGUGCAUAGGAGAUUGAUACUUCUUAGAACUAACAACAGCACAUUCAAUUUGAGGGUUUCAGUUAGAACUACUCAUAUACUCAGCUUCUGUAACCGGUGUUAUACUGAUACUUGGAAUCCGCUAUUUAUGCAAGAAAUAUAAUACUAGAAGAAAAAAAUCAAAAUCAUCUGUGACGUUAGAUGAGGAUAUAACUCAAAACGAUCCUCCAAAUGAAAGUCACGAGGCAUUUGAGUUGAGCGAAGGAUUAUACCACACCAUUGAUGAAGAUAAAAUUUUAGUUUCAAGUACCAAUGACAAUCCAUACUUAGAAGUAGUGAACGAAUCAUCAGGUUCAGACAGUAUUAAAAACGACAAAGGAGGAACAGCGAGUUACCCACCACCUUACUGCAGACAAAUUACAACGAGUGUUGACAAACAUCCAUACGAGAACAGCCGACCGGAAAGUUUUGAUAGUCAUGCCCAUAUUUCUGGCACCCAAGAAACCGACGAAGGCUAUCUAACACCUAGUAAACCAAUAAUUGAUAGUUCAAUAAGAUGUGAAACUGAAAUAUUUGCAAUGGUUCAUGUAGAAACGUAUUCGUCAUCAGGAUCGGAUAACGACAAAAAUGAUAAAAACGAUGGUAUUGAUUAUUUAAACCCUUACCAACCUUUAGAAAAGUGUAAUCAAACUGAAAAAGAUCAUGGCUACGACAUUCUAAUGACCGGUCCGAUUAAGUUAACACUUGAUAAUGUCAUUACAGAAACUUUGUGAUUGAUACUUUUGUUCAUCGCUUAUCAGUAUAAAUGACGCAGGAAGUCCAUGACUAGUCCUAUUAAAUGGAUUUUAUUAAUGAUUCAAGUUGAUCUUACUUUAACCAGGAUUUUAUCAAUUUAAUCAUUCAUGGGUGGGCUCACUAUAUAUACUUGCAUGAAACUGAGAUAAUCUGCGUUUUUCCGGGAAUUCUGCAUAUAAAAUGAAAUAUUCCCCAUUCAAGCGAACGUUACACAUGGUAUUUAACUUUUUGUCAUUUUGAGAUAUGUAGUAGAUUGAGAUAAAUUGAAAAAUUCAUAAAAUAAACCGUCAGAAAAAAAACCAUAUUUGAUGAUAAUUCCAAUGGAAAUACUUGUAUACUGUUGCAUUUCACAAUGUUAAAACCAUGGUGCAGUCCAAAAGGAAAAUUAUCAUGCAGGGUUUGCAAAAUGAUUCUUCGACAGCAGUGUUAUGAUAAUCUGCGGGUCCAGAGGUAAGACUCGGACGCUUGAAGUUUUAUAGCGUUGUUUUCACUUUGAAUACCCUUGUAUUUAUAUUUUACUUAAUUUGUACUUUAUCGAAAAAGUGUAUAUGAAAUUAUGUUUAAAUGUUCUGUAUGUGCUAUCGACUACUUAAACUUUUUUGUUGACGUCUUUGUCAGAUUUAUUUGUAUGUUUGUUUGAAUUUUGAAGCAAGUUUGUUUGAUUGUCUGUGAUGUAUGUUUACACAAUUUUCGCUGCUGGAUCCCAAUUAUAAGGAAAGUGUUUGUAAAGAUAUGUUUUACUAUAUAUUAUGUACUAUCAACACUUUGCAUAACCCAUCACAUAAAGUAAGUUAUAAAGGCAUCAAAAUGACAAAUGUAAAGCAUUUCAAACGAGAAAACUAGCAGCCUGAUUUAUAUUCAAGACAAUAAACGAAAAAACAAAUAUCUUAUACAGCAACAAACGACAACCACUGAUGUAUGUCUGCGAGUAUUUUUACACAGUUUUGGCUGCCGGACGUUGACGAAUUUUGUCUGUUUGGGUUGCUCAUCCAAUUUUGUCAAUAUAACACAACUAUAAACAACUGCCAUACAAGUAGGAGGCUUAGCUAAAUAAAAACCAGUUCUUACGCUCUAUUUUCUUUUUAAAAUAACGCCUUUACCAAGUUAGGAAUAUAACAGUUGUUUCCACUCGUUCCGUUGGUUGAUAACGUUUGAUUUUGUCAAAUUUUAUGGCGUCCCCUUUUUGAAUUUACCUUGGAGUUCAGUAUUUUUGUGAUACCUUUUUUUUCUGUUUAAAUCUUAUUAAUAUAAGGGUGCUAUAAACAGUUUCGUAUAAAAAACUAGGGGUUAUUCCCCGACUAAAAAUAACCAUGGAGGGAAAUCCCUUUUUAUUUACUUAAUUGGUGAAAAAGUAUCAUGUUUUUUGUAUUUGAUUGUAAAAAUUAGUUAAUUAGCUUUCAAGUAAAACAGGUUGAAUGAUUAAAAUAAUUUUAAAAAUUAGAUUAAAAAUACAUGUUUGGAGGGGAGACAACACUGUAAACAUCCUGUUUUUUUGGCAGUGAAAAUUGAAAACUUAGUCGCAGCCACUGUAGCUCUUUUCGAAGCAGGAAACCGUACCCUGAAGCGAGAUUUUUUUGAAAGGCCAGGUUAAAACCUAUAAAUUUUAUACAGUUUUGAUUAUGUGAAAUGUGCCUGUAUCAUGUCUACAUGGGUAUGCACAUGACCUGAUUUCAGGUUUUUUAUGUUCAGAUUAAGCAAUUUUUCCCCCAUGUUCUCUGAAAAGAACUUUUUUAUUAUAUUAAAAGUAGACUUUAUUUUUAUUUCAUUAUAAACUAGAGAAAAUUUUGAUUCCAGUGAUAUCUAGUUUUAUACAAGUAUCUUUAUUAACUAUUCCACCACUAAGGGUCACUUAUGCAUGGUCCCUCAAAAUAUGACGUCAUAGAAAAAAACUGUUGAUUGCACCCUAAUGUUGCUUUUAAUGUGGAAGCUAUUGAAUGUUUUACGGAGGCAUUCAGUACAUAGUUUACCAUAACGGAUCUUAUGCGUCACAGAUGAAAUAUUUUCACAGACACUAUUAUUAUUGCCUUGUUCAUUAUGUAUUACAUUGUUAUAAAUUCUAAUCUGAAACUUUAUUAUUUUGGUGAACAGGUCAUUUGCUUUUACUUCAUAAAGUGUCAUACAAUAGCUGAUGGCUCUAUUAAGAUCUUACAUUAUCCAACUUAAGUUAUAGCAGUCAGAUGAGAUUAAAUAAGAAAGAAAAGGACUCUCUCUUUUUAUCUAUAUUUUUCAGAAAGUAAUUCCCUCCACAGUUACAAUUGAAACGGUGCGGAAUUAAUCAUUUUAAUUUUAGGAUGUUUUGAUGUUCUAAUGAUAAAUAUCUGACCUUAAACUACUUUUGUAAUUACCAAGAUAAAUAAAUUGUGAACCUAAUUUUGAGAUGCGUUCUGUACAUUUUCUUAAAGCAGAUACAAAUAAUGCAUAUGUUUCUGCUUAUAAUUAAAUGUACGCUUACAAGGUCGUUUUUUCGAUAUGAUUGAAAUUCCAGGUGAUCAAAGAUAAAUGUAUGUAUGUUAUUUGUUCAGGUCGGACAUUAAAUAUAUUUGUACAUUG